rnacentral:rRNA from 1 species
CGACCGGGUGAGUAACACGUGACUAACCUACCCUCGAUUGGGGAAUAACCUCGGGAAACCGGGGCUAAUACCGCAUAACAUCGCGAGGCGAGAAUCCUUGUGAUCAAAGGAGCAAUUCGAUUGAGGAGGGGGUCGCGGCUGAUUAGCUAGUUGGUGGGGUAACGGCCCACCAAGGCGAUGAUCAGUAUCCGGCCUGAGAGGGCGCACGGACACACUGGAACUGAAACACGGUCCAG